AACGAACGCUGGCGGCAGGCUUAACACAUGCAAGUCGAGCGCCCCGCAAGGGGAGCGGCAGACGGGUGAGUAACGCGUGGGAACGUACCCUUUGCUACGGAAUAGCUCCGGGAAACUGGAAUUAAUACCGUAUGUGCCCUACGGGGGAAAGAUUUAUCGGCAAAGGAUCGGCCCGCGUUGGAUUAGCUAGUUGGUGGGGUAAUGGCCUACAAAGGCGACGAUCCAUAGCUGGUCUGAGAGGAUGAUCAGCCACAUUGGGACUGAGACACGGCCCAAACUCCUACGGGAGGCAGCAGUGGGGAAUAUUGGACAAUGGGCGCAAGCCUGAUCCAGCCAUGCCGCGUGAGUGAUGAAGGCCUUAGGGUUGUAAAGCUCUUUCACCGGAGAAGAUAAUGACGGUACCCGGAGAAGAAGCCCCGGCUAACUUCGUGCCAGCAGCCGCCGUAAUAC
rnacentral:rRNA from 1 species